rnacentral:rRNA from 1 species
GGCGAACGCUGGCGGCGUGCUUAACACAUGCAAGUCGAACGGAAAGGCCCUGCUUUUGUGGGGUGCUCGAGUGGCGAACGGGUGAGUAACACGUGAGUAACCUGCCCUUGACUUUGGGAUAACUUCAGGAAACUGGGGCUAAUACCGGAUAGGAUCUCCUGGUGCAUGGUGGGGGUUGGAAAGUUUCGGCGGUUGGGGAUGGACUCGCGGCUUAUCAGCUUGUUGGUGGGGUAGUGGCUUACCAAGGCUUUGACGGGUAGCCGGCCUGAGAGGGUGACCGGCCACAUUGGGACUGAGAUACGGCCCAGACUCCUACGGGAGGCAGCAGUGGGGAGUAUUGCACAAUGGGCGGAAGCCUGAUGCAGCAACGCCGCGUGCGGGAUGACGGCCUUCGGGUUGUAAACCGCUUUCGCCUGUGACGAAGCGUGAGUGACGGUAAUGGGUAAAGAAGCACCGGCUAACUACGUG